CCUACGGGUGGCAGCAGUGAGGAAUAUUGGUCAAUGGACGAGCGUCUGAACCAGCCAAGUAGCGUGAAGGAUGACUGCCCUAUGGGUUGUAAACUUCUUUUAUAAAGGAAUAAAACGAGGCACGUGUGCCUUUUUGCAUGUACUUUAUGGAUAAGGAUCGGCUAACUCCGUGCCAGCAGCCGCGGUAAUACGGAGGAUUCGAGCGUUAUCCGGAUUUAUUGGGUUUAAAGGGAGCGUAGAUGGGUUGUUAAGUCAGUUGGGAAAGUUUGCGGCUCAACCGUAAAAUUGCAAUUGAUACUGGCGGUCUUGAGUACAGUUGAGGUAGGCGGAAUUCGUGGUGUAGCGGUGAAAUGCAUAGAUAUCACGAAGAACCCCGAUUGCGAAGGCAGCUUACUAAACUGUGACUGACAUUGAUGCUCGAAAGUGUGGGUAUCAAACAGGAUUAGAUACCCCUGUAGUC
rnacentral:rRNA from 1 species